GACGAACGCUGGCGGCGUGCUUAACACAUGCAAGUCGAACGGAAAGGCCCUGCUUUUGUGGGGUGCUCGAGUGGCGAACGGGUGAGUAACAAGUGAGUAACCUGCCCUUGACUUUGGGAUAACUUCAGGAAACUGGGGCUAAUACCGGAUAGGAGCUCCUGCUGCAUGGUGGGGGUUGGAAAGUUUCGGCGGUUGGGGAUGGACUCGCGGCUUAUCAGCUUGUUGGUGGGGUAGUGGCUUACCAAGGCUUUGACGGGUAGCCGGCCUGAGAGGGUGACCAGCCACGUUGGAACUGAGGUACGGCCCAGACUACUACGGGAGGCAGCAGUGGGGAAUUGUGCACAAUGGGCGGAAGCCUGAUCCAGCAACGCCGCGUGCGGGAUGACGUCCUUCGGGUUGUAAACCGCAUUCGCCUGUGACGAAGCGUGAGUGACGGUAAUGGGUAAAGAAGCACCGGCUAACUACGUG
rnacentral:rRNA from 1 species